rnacentral:lncRNA from 1 species
GGAUUAUACCUAUUGAUGCAGUUGCUUAAAAUCCUUUAGUUUAUUGAAAGGAAUAAUAAUUUAUGCUUCUUUCCUAAAUCAAAUGAGAAAAGAUGAAGGAAAUAUUUACAUACAUUGCUGGUGUAAAGAUCACACAUAUGGAUCCUGCUCCCUCUGAAAUUGAGAAAAUGAGAACGUAUAUGACUAUUGGGGCCUGUUAGAGAGCAGUGUGAAACGGAAACUGUAAAGUUUUUUAGGGAACUUCUAGGAUACAAAUAAUAAUUUUGAAGUAUCUGAAGCACUGUUUAGUUGGGAACAAAAUUGAGAAUGCAAAAAUAUAGGAUUAUAUGUUUUUGCUUUCUGAUUCCAUAUGCUUUUUGGGAAUGAUCAAGGAUGAGCAAUGAAGAUUUCAGAAACUUGUAGCACAGAUAGAGCUGCUGAAGUUUUAUUGAGAAUAUAUUGUCUCCACACAUGGAAUAUGGUGUUCAGAUCAGUUUAAGCCUUUAAGUGAAGUGAUACCUAUAAACCUGUUCAAUGGAGUCUGUGCGAUAUUAUGGGGGU